UUUGGUCAUUCAAAAAAGUCUCUGGAACCUGAAAAAAGCACUUGCAAACUAAUUAAAAGGCCUGUGGUGAGAGCAUACAUUUAUAAUCUUUUUACAAUGGUACAUGUUGCCAGUGUAUUUUUCUUAAAUUUAUCAUUAUAACGAGUGACAAGACAUAAGAGAAAAGGCAAACAUUUUCUUUAUUUUCUUGCCUAGAAGUUAGAAAUAAUAUUCUACCUGAUUGUUUUUGUCUGUGUACAAGGACAUGGAUGUUGCUGGAGAGGAUGCUACCUCAAUAGAGGGACAUGUGAAAGUCUUACAGGACCAAUAUCAAAAGACACAGCCAGAUGCUCGCAUUGUUGAAGAGCGAAUGAGGAGGACCUUUGCCUGGAGGCAUAAGGAGAUUACUUGUGGGAUGACUGUUGAAGAUGCUGUCAACAAAUAUUCAUUCUUGAAGAGUUCAUCAGGGGUAAGUGUGGAAAUUAUGAAAGUACACAAACCCAUUAACAUGUAGGACACUGAAACUGUAUAAAAAAUCCUGACUUUCUUAUGUUUGUGUCUUUUUAACAAAUUUCAGCUUUAUCAAGAAAUUUGUUUCCUGUACAAGUCUGUUAAUCUUUGCCAGCACUUUCAAGAAAGCUUUGGAAACAUUGCAUCCAGUGUGCUACAGCUUGCUUGCGGGAAAUCUCUUUUAGCAAAGCCGCUCAUAGAAGCUAGAGAAGAAUCUCUUGUUAAAGACCAUCAUGGAAUUGAUUUCAAAGCAGCACUUCUCAUGUUGCCAGUCUAGUUCAGAGAGAAGCUUGAACACGUCAUUGUGCUUGGGGAGAGUGACCCAUCUUCACCAUAUCCAACUGUUCAAGUACAGGAAACCACUGACUGGAAAACUGUGCUUACAAGAAGAGUCACUGCUGUCAUCAGAGUUGAUGGGAUAGAGAUCUGCCGGGUUAGCGGUGUGGACGAAGGGGUUCUUGCUGCAUUCUGUGCCUAUUUCGUCUUCAAUUUGACAUAUCCACCUCACUUGAAGAACACUCUGGUGUUUCUUCAACGGUAUGUUUUGAAACUUACUGUGGAUGGUGACAAGCCUCUACCUACUCCAGUUACCAGAGUAAUCAACCUUUUACAGUAACAUCUGCAAAAAUGCCUCGCCCGUUCUGUUGUCUCAAAUGCUCUCGGAGAACAUUCACAAUUGUCAAAUUAAUCCAGCACAUUGGUCUCAUUCAUGCACACGAGGCAAAUUUUUCAAUAACUUGUGGUCUUAAUGACUGUCAGAGAACAUUUUCAAAGUACGAGUCCUUUAGAUGUCAUGUUUAACGAAAGCAUAAACAUACAGUGUUACAACGGACUAUGACUGAUGAUCCUCUUCCUUUCUUUGAGGAUGUUGAGGAAGAAUGUCCUAAUGAUAGUGUUGCACUGUCUGCCCCCCCUCCAAACAUGAAGGAGCUGUUUCAGCAAUUAAGAGAGAACCUAUGUGCCUUUGUUCUGAAAUGCAGAGAAAAAAAAUCACCUGCCUCAGUCAGUGCAGCAAGAAAUUUUAGAUGACGUUAAUUUCUUAUUUAGUUUUUUCAAAGAGAACUAUGAUGCAUUUCUUGCUUAUCAUCUAAAACAAAAUGGAUUUGAUCUUGCUGCAUCCCCAGAACUUCAAGAAGUGCUACAGUCCCCUGACUUUUUUUCAGAGGCCUCGAGACUUGUUAGGUCUCCACACAUGUUCAAAGAGUAUUGCAAAUCAAAAUUUGAGUUGACUGAGCCUGUGCAGUAUACACUAAGAGACUCGUAAUAAGGUGAUAAGACUGGAAGUUACUCGUACAUUCCUAUAUGUGAGGUAUUGAGAAAAUACUGUUCCCAUGAGGACAUUUGGGACCAGAUACAAACUGAGUUGAACACUGAAAAAGAUGAACUUGUUCUAAAAGAUUAUCGAGAUGGACUUCAUUUCAAAAACCACAAAUUCUUUGCAAAUAACCCACAAGCUCUGAGACUGCAUCUUUAUGAAGAUGAGUUUGAGGUGUGUAAUCCUCUGGGUU